rnacentral:misc_RNA from 1 species
AAAAUCCCUCUCCUUGAUCUCGGCGAUCCCGCCGAUACAAAUCUCUCUCGUUCUCAUCUCCCUCUUCGUCGAUGUUCUACAGCUGAGAUCGCUCCUCGAUUCCUUCGCGGCUCUUCUUUUUAUAGCGAGAAUGGCUGUGGUUGCUUUCGGUAAUGUUGCUUCGGCGUCUGUUAUAGCGUGGUCUGGGCAUGGUAGCUCUGGGUCUCGUGAUGGAGUUGGGAUUUGUUCGGUGAGUUUUGGUGUUGAUUCGAGACUGAGUAGGAGGGGCUAUUGCUCUGGUAGCUUGAGAUUGGGUGUGGUUCGUUCGUCAUCGUUGCAAUCUUCGGUGGCUGAUCCGGUUCAAGUGCCGUCGAGCAAUAG